rnacentral:sRNA from 1 species
GCCAGGCAUGGUGGUGCAUGCCUGUAAUCCCAGCAGCUUGAGAGGCUAAGGCAGGAGGAUCACAAGUUCAAAGCCAGCUUCAGCAAAAGCAAGGCACUAAGCAACUCAGUGAUACCCAGUCUCUA